rnacentral:rRNA from 1 species
GGAGUGAAAGGCUAAUCAAGCCCGGAGAUAGCUGGUUCUCCUCGAAAGCUAUUUAGGUAGCGCCUCGUGUAUCACUGUCGGGGGUAGAGCACUGUUUCGGCUAGGGGGUCAUACCGACUUACCAAACCGAUGCAAACUUCGAAUACCGGCAAGUGCAAGCACGGGAGACACACGGCGAGUGCUAACAUCCGUCGUGAAGAGGGAAACAACCCAGACCGCCAGCUAAGGCCCCCAAGUCAUGGCUAAGUGGAAAACGAUGUGGGAAGGCAUAGACAGCCAGGAGGUUGGCUUAGAAGCAGCCAUCCUUUAAAGAAAGCGUAAUAGCUCACUGGUCGAGUCGGCCCGCGCGGAAAAUUCAACGGGGCUAAGCCAUGCGCCGAAGCUGCGGACUUGGCAUUGCCAAGUGGUAGAGGAGCGUUCCGUAAGCCUGUGAAGGUGUGUCGCGAGGCAUGCUGGAGGUAUCGGAAGUGCGAAUGCUGACAUGAGUAACGAUAAUGCGGGUGAAAAACCCGCACGCCGUAAACCCAAGGUUUCCUGCGCAACGUUAAUCGGCGCAGGGUGAGUCGGACCCUAAGGCGAGGCCGAAAGGCGUAGUUGAUGGGAAACAGGUUAAUAUUCCUGUACCGAUGAUUGCUGCGAUGGGGUGACGGAGAAGGCUAGGCCGGCCGGGUGUUGGAUGUCCCGGUUUAAGCAAGUAGGAAGAUCCCUUAGGCAAAUCCGGGGGGUCAAUUCCGAGAUGUGAUGACGAGUCCCUUAGGGGGCGAAGUGGUUGAUGCCAUGCUUCCAGGAAAAGCCUCUAAGCUUCAGGCAAUCAUCGCCCGUACCGCAAACCGACACAGGUGGGUGAGGAGAGAAUCCUAAGGCGCUUGAGAGAACUCGGUUGAAGGAACUAGGCAAAAUAGUACCGUAACUUCGGGAGAAGGUACGCCCCUUGUACGUGAAGAGCCUUGCGCUUGGAGCGGAAAGGGGUUGCAGUGACCAGGCCGCUGCGACUGUUUAUCAAAAACACAGCACUCUGCAAACACGAAAGUGGACGUAUAGGGUGUGACGCCUGCCCGGUGCCGGAAGGUUAAUUGAUGGGGUUAGCCCUCGGGCGAAGCUCUUGAUCGAAGCCCCGGUAAACGGCGGCCGUAACUAUAACGGUCCUAAGGUAGCGAAAUUCCUUGUCGGGUAAGUUCCGACCUGCACGAAUGGCGUAACGAUGGCGGCGCUGUCUCCAACCGAGACUCAGUGAAGUUGAAAUCGCUGUGAAGAUGCAGCGUACCCGCGGCAAGACGGAAAGACCCCGUGAACCUUUACUAUAGCUUUGCACUGAAUUUUGAACCUGCUUGUGUAGGAUAGGUGGGAGGCUUUGAAGCGCAGACGCCAGUUUGCGUGGAGCCAACCUUGAAAUACCACCCUGGCAUGUUUGGAGUUCUAACCUAGGCCCGUUAUCCGGGCUGGAGACAGUGCAUGGUGGGUAGUUUGACUGGGGCGGUCUCCUCCCAAAGAGUAACGGAGGAGCGCGAAGGUACCCUCAGCGCGGUCGGAAAUCGCGCAAUGAGUGCAAAGGCAUAAGGGUG